UGAGGAACCAGGUUCUUGUGAUUCUGGAUGCAAUGGUGGGCUUAUGAACAGUGCUUUUGAGUACACACUCAAGGCUGGUGGGCUUAUGCGGGAGGAAGACUAUCCUUACACCGGCACUGAUCGUGGCCACGCCUGCAAAUUUGAUAAGAGUAAGAUUGCUGCCUCAGUGGCCAACUUCAGUGUUGUCUCCCUUGACGAGGAUCAAAUUGCUGCCAAUCUUGUGAAAAAUGGUCCUCUUGCAGGUAAAUAAUUCCUUCUUGCAGAUAGUUUCAUGUCAUGAGGAUCUUUUCUGUUCAUGUCUAGGUUUGCAAUGGCACUUUAAAUCAGAAUUUCACUCUGGUAGUUUAAUUAAUGGAGAUGUUCAUUGGCUUUAACCGUAAUACCUCUUUCUUUGUUUGAAUGCAGUGGCCAUCAAUGCCGUGUACAUGCAGACAUACAUUGGGGGAGUUUCCUGCCCAUACAUAUGCUCGAGGCGAUUGGACCAUGGAGUGUUGCUCGUGGGAUACGGUUCAGCUGGCUAUGCUCCAAUCAGGUUGAAGGAGAAGCCAU
rnacentral:lncRNA from 1 species